rnacentral:rRNA from 1 species
GUGGGGAAUAUUGGACAAUGGGCGAAAGCCUGAUCCAGCCAUGCCGCGUGUGUGAAGAAGGUCUUCGGAUUGUAAAGCACUUUAAGUUGGGAGGAAGGGCAGUAAGUUAAUACCUUGCUGUUUUGACGUUACCGACAGAAUAAGCACCGGCUAACUUCGUGCCAGCAGCCGCGGUAAUACGAAGGGGGCGAGCGUUAUUCGGAAUCACUGGGCGUAAAGCGUGCGAAGGCAGUCUCGUAAGUUAGGAGUGAAAGCCCAGGGCUCAACCUUGGAAUUGCUCUUACAACUGCAAGGCUAGUAUAUCGGAGAGGAUAGAGGAAUGUCCAGUGUAGCAGUGAUAUGCGUAGAUAUUGGAAGGAACACCAGUGGCGUAAGCGGCUAUCUGGACGAGUAUUGACGCUGAGGCACGAAAGCGUGGGGAUCAAACAGGAUUAGAUACCCCAGUAGUCC